rnacentral:lncRNA from 1 species
AACAUUUGCAGCGGGAUUAAACGUUUUAAUGGAUCCAAACCUUCUCCCUUUUUCUGAAACAAUAGCAUAACAUCACAACAUAGAAAAACACACGAUAAAAUAUCAAUUGGCAGGCUUAACUCAAUCAAAAAACGUAAAUUAAUACACUAUGAACGAAUAAAUUUGAUCUGCGAUAUCUGAAUGCAAAUGCACAGUUAAUAAAAUAUUAGGGACAAACAUUCAAGGCCAAAACGCAAACAAACAAGUCCAAAC